rnacentral:tRNA from 1 species
AGGGAAUUAGUCUAAUGGCAAAACAGUGGGCUCCAAACCCAUAUAUGAGAGUUCGAUUCUUUCAUUCCCUGUCA